GCGCCUGGGCGUGGAACAUGUCAGGAGCCGUGGGUGUGGGGGAAGGCGCGUCGGGGGUGGUGUUGGCCAUGUGACGCCCACGCUUGGAGUUUCGUGUGAUAGCGGCAUAAGGCGGAACGUAUGUCCACUGGCUGGUGGCAGACACGCUGUGCCCAGACUGGAGAAGGAGGCAGGAGAGUGUCUCGCCACUUGCUUGUAUCCCAGAACUAUAAGUCAAUCACAUGAAUUUCUCCUCUGCCUUUGCUUCCCUUGUCCUUCCCUCGCUGCGCACCUCGUCACUCCUUUGUCCCGCUCGGCGGCCAGGCAUAAAAAUGUCCCCCGUAAUUUAUAAGGAAAAGAGGAUAACUUCACGGAAGGUAAAACAAAUUUGCACUGAACGGUUGUCAUAAUGAAUAUUUCGGCCCGGUGUCCAUUAAAGCAAGCAGGAUUUUAAAUAAAGUGAUGUAAUUGUUGCGCUAAAUUAAUAAUGUUAACGCUGCA